rnacentral:rRNA from 1 species
CAUUACUGAGUUUACGCUCUACAACCCUUUGUGAACAUACCUACAACUGUUGCUUCGGCGGGUAGGGUCUCCGCGACCCUCCCGGCCUCCCGCCUCCGGGCGGGUCGGCGCCCGCCGGAGGAUAACCAAACUCUGAUUUAACGACGUUUCUUCUGAGUGGUACAAGCAAAUAAUCAAAACUUUUAACAACGGAUCUCUUGGUUCUGGCAUCGAUGAAGAACGCAGCGAAAUGCGAUAAGUAAUGUGAAUUGCAGAAUUCAGUGAAUCAUCGAAUCUUUGAACGCACAUUGCGCCCGCCAGCAUUCUGGCGGGCAUGCCUGUUCGAGCGUCAUUUCAACCCUCAAGCUCUGCUUGGUGUUGGGGCCCUACAGCCGAUGUAGGCCCUCAAAGGUAGUGGCGGACCCUCCCGGAGCCUCCUUUGCGUAGUAACUUUACGUCUCGCACUGGGAUCCGGAGGGACUCUUGCCGUAAAACCCCCCAAUUUUCCAAAGGUUGACCUCGGAUCAGGUAGGAAUACCCGCUGAACUUAAGCAUAUCAAUAAAGCGGAGG